AUCUAAAUCGGAAGGUAGCACACAGACAUAUGCCAGCCAAUCCAGCUCAGAAGGCAGCACUCAGACAUAUGCCAGCCAAACCAGAUCAGAAAGCAGCAGUCAAGCUGAUACUAGCAAGUAAGUGAAUUAGGGGGCAUUUUUUUUAUAUAAUAAGUAUAUGUUAAAAAUUGAGAUGAACAAAUUGAUAAUUAACAAUUACUUGCUAACUAUUAACUGAGUAGCCACAAUUAGUAAAGUACUGUACCUUAAAACAACCUAUUUGCUGAUCUAGUAACUUGCGAGUAUUUGUCUAAAUAAGACAAUAUCUUCUUUCCUGCAGUUUAGUUAAUAUGUGUUGGGAGUUUAUUUUUGGGAAACAAAGGAAAACAUUUUUGGUGAAAUGUUUAAGGAGCUAAUUCAUAAAAAGGAUCUUUUUGUAUUCUUUUUCUUGGAGUACACCAAGGGGAAGUUUACUUUUUUAUUUGGAGAUGGCACAACUAGAAACUAAUAUGUAUGCUGAUGAAUAACUGAGUGAAUGCUCGCAUAGAUCACCUGGGAAGAAUUUGUUG
rnacentral:lncRNA from 1 species